rnacentral:rRNA from 1 species
GAUGAACGCUGGCUACAGGCUUAACACAUGCAAGUCGAGGGGAAACGACAGGGAAGCUUGCUUCCUUGGGCGUCGACCGGCGCACGGGUGAGUAACGCGUAUCCAACCUGCCUCUGACUGAGGGAUAACCCGUCGAAAGUCGGCCUAAUACCUCAUGGCAUCGUCUGCGGGCAUCCAACGACGAUUAAAGAUUUCAUCGGUCAGGGAUGGGGAUGCGUCUGAUUAGCCUGUUGGCGGGGUAACGGCCCACCAAGGCUACGAUCAGUAGGGGUUCUGAGAGGAAGGUCCCCCACAUUGGAACUGAGACACGGUCCAAACUCCUACGGGAGGCAGCAGUGAGGAAUAUUGGUCAAUGGGCGAGAGCCUGAACCAGCCAAGUAGCGUGCAGGAUGACGGCCCUAUGGGUUGUAAACUGCUUUUAUGCGGGGAUAAAGUGAGGGACGUGUCCUUCAUUGCAGGUACCGCAUGAAUAAGGACCGGCUAAUUCCGUGCCAGCAGCCGCGGUAAUACGGAAGGUCCUGGCGUUAUCCGGAUUUAUUGGGUUUAAAGGGAGCGUAGGCCGUGGAUUAAGCGUGUUGUGAAAUGCAGGUGCUCAACGUCUGCACUGCAGCGCGAACUGGUCCACUUGAGUGUGCGCAACGCAGGCGGAAUUCGUCGUGUAGCGGUGAAAUGCUUAGAUAUGACGAAGAACUCCGAUUGCGAAGGCAGCUUGCGGGAGCACAACUGACGCUGAAGCUCGAAAGUGCGGGUAUCGAACAGG